UCUUUUUUUCUCCUCUUCAGACUGUAUAAGUCUUUUGGCUUUUUAUUAAAGGAUUUCCGUGGAGAGGAACAAGUUGAGUUUAUCUGAAUUUUUUUAAUGCCCUGCAAAAGUGGGGCU